rnacentral:rRNA from 1 species
UACGUAGGGUGCAGGCGUUAAUCGGAAUUACUGGGCGUAAAGCGUGCGCAGGCGGUUUGCUAAGACAGGUGUGAAAUCCCCGGGCUUAACCUGGGAACUGCGCUUGUUACUGGCAAGCUUGAGUGUGGCAGAGGGGGGUGGAAUUCCACGUGUAGCAGUGAAAUGCGUAGAGAUGUGGAGGAACACCGAUGGCGAAGGCAGCCCCCUGGGUCAAGAUUGACGCUCAUGCACGAAAGCGUGGGGAGCAAACAGG